UCUCUCCCUGCUCUGCAUGGUUGCACCUGCCAUAACAUGUGUGACUUUCGUAAAGAGGAGAGAGAGAAAGGGCGCGCUCAGGACCUUGGGCAGGCCUCCUGUGGCCUGUCCCUUCUGGGGGGGCACAACAGGC
ensembl:snoRNA